UUCUCAGAUUCAGGUCCGGCUGAGAUUCGUGGAAUUUAUGGUAAUACCAUUGUUGUCUUCUGCCGUUCCAGGUCCAGGCGGAUCCAGGCUUGUCGCUGAACCAGUUUGAACGUCGAACGAUAAUGCAGAUUCGGUUGGUACCGUCACCGGCGGACGAUAAAUUGGACACGGCCGGCAACCAUGCUCUCCUCGCGACUCCGUCGAUAUUCAGAAAUAGGUGGCCAACAAUGAUUUCCUAAGUUUACAUUUCACCGUGGCUCGCACGGCUUCCAGCUUAUCUGAAGCUUAGACGUCAGUGAUUGUUUCCUUUUAAAUGAUUAUCACUAUCUUUGUUAGCACAAACGCCUAAGUCAAUAAGGACUUUGAUUGUUCCUUAAGCUAAUGUGCGCAUACAAGAGAGAUUAAAAUGGAUCUUAUUGUACUCGUAUGUAUUCCGCGCUCGAUCUACCCGAGCAAGCUGUUUGUUUUGAACAGAUACGGGACAAUAAGAUUUUUUCUAUUCGAGCGUCGAUACGCUGCUGAAAUUUAGGAAAGCGUGUAUUUGGGCGCGGUCGUUCGGAGAAACUGAUGUUAGCUUUAUGUAUGUCGAUAAAGAAAAUUGCUCUACCGUUUUCUCGAUUCCUUUCGUCGUUAUUUAUUUAAAUAAUUGACUUCGGAAACGCCCACAAAAAAAUCAACGUAAUUUAAUUAAUUAAACACAAACUAGAAAGUUGAAAUUGUUCAUAGUGGGUGCUAACCGAACUCUUCCGUAUUCUAAAGGUCCUAGUAAAGUUCAAUUGUAUUAUUUUUUAAUUUACUAUUACAAUCUUUACUCUAUUACAAACUAUACUAAAUUCAAAAAAUAAAUUUUCAACUUAUUGAAAGAUAGAGAAAUAAAGCUGGUAAUUAACGUGGGUUACUCUAUAAGAA